rnacentral:rRNA from 1 species
GACUACUGGGGUAUCUAAUCCUGUUUGCUCCCCACGCUUUCGCACCUCAGCGUCAGUAUCGAGCCAGUGAGCCGCCUUCGCCACUGGUGUUCCUCCGAAUAUCUACGAAUUUCACCUCUACACUCGGAAUUCCACUCACCUCUCUCGACCUCAAGACCAGGAGUUUAGAAGGCAGUUCCGAGGUUGAGCCCCGGGAUUUCACCCCCUACUUUCUGGUCCGCCUACGUGCGCUUUACGCCCAGUAAUUCCGAACAACGCUAGCCCCCUCCGUAUUACCGCGGCUGCUGGCACGGAGUUAGCCGGGGCUUCUUCUGUGGGUACAGUCAUUAUCUUCCCCACUGAAAGAGCUUUACAACCCUAAGGCCUUCAUCGCUCACGCGGCAUGGCUAGAUCAGGCUUGCGCCCAUUGUCCAAGAUUCCCCACUGCAGCCCCCCGUAGG